rnacentral:rRNA from 1 species
AACUAACGCUGGCGGCGUGCCUAACACAUGCAAGUCGUACGAGAAAGUUGGCUUCGGCCGAUGAGUAAAGUGGCGCACGGGUGAGUAAUGCGUGGAUAAUCUGCCCUUUAGUUGGGAAUAACGUACCGAAAGGUGCGCUAAUACCUGAUAAUACUGCAUAACUACUGUUGUGUAGUCAAAGAAGGCCUCUGUUUACAAGCUUUUGCUGAAGGAUGAGUCCGCGUACCAUUAGCUGGUUGGUGGGGUAAUGGCCUACCAAGGCUACGAUGGUUAGCUGGUCUGAGAGGAUGAUCAGCCACACUGGAACUGAGACACGGUCCAGACUCCUACGGGAGGCAGCAGUGAGGAAUAUUGCGCAAUGGGGGCAACCCUGAUCCAGCCAUGCCGCGUGAGUGAAGAAGGCCUCGGUUGUAAGCUCUUUCAGACGGAAAGAAAACGACAUCGGUGAAUACCCGGUGUGGAUGACGGUACCGUAACGAAGGAAGCACCGGCUAAC